GUCGCAGGCUUAACCCUAUCUGUGGAUUGGAUUGAGAUCGAUACCAAAGAGACCAUCGAGAGUAACAUGAUCGCCAGGGUUCUUCACGGCACCAGCGCCCUGCUAAUCGCUAUCAGUCUGUUUGGCUCUGGAUCGCUUGGUGCAAUAUUGCGAAACUGCCAACCAGAAGAUGGAAAAAUACAUGUCCAUGGCGAUACUGUAUACGUCCAGCCAGCAAAUGAUACUUUUACUACUCGAAAUGUCGGGGCUGAGGGAAAACUCUACAAAAAGCCGUUCAUCUUCACAUCACCAUGCGAUGUAUCCUUCAAGGCUAUUUCUCUUCUGUACUUCGGAGCAUGCUCUGUAUCAGUGAGUUAUGGAAGUGAUAACAGAGUUCUUGAAAUACUUCAAUUUCCAGAUCCACCGACAGACACCUGGCAUCGUAGAAACGUGAGCCUGACAAACACUGCUUCCCAAUCGCUUCACGGGUUCAUGAAAAGAAAUAACACCAGAAGGUUCCUGAUCACGAUUUCCAAAGGGAGAUCUAAUUGUCAAUUAGUCGGAGUCGAUCACAAUAAAGGAAGAGGACUGGUCAUCAUUGGACAGGUUAUUCCAACGUCCAUUUCAGCAAGACCUGUCACCAAUACUGCUAUAGCCACAAACCAAGCCUCUACCCAUUCCACACAGAAGACGGUUUCCUCUACAGUACCAACUUCAAUAAUGACCACUCCCUCAGUGGAUUCAAGCAGGA